GGAUUGGGAGGGUUCUACGGAACCCGUUUGGUGAAUCUAGUGCCGAGAAAAGCCUUCUAUGUGUUGAAUUUCUAGUACCCGUACCCCAAACCGACACAGGCGGGUGGGUAGAGCAUACCUAGGGGCGCGUGAUAACUCUCUCUAAGGAACUCGGCAAAAUGGCCCUGUAACUUCGGGAUAAGGGGUGCCUGCGUGAGCAGGCCGCAGUGAAAUGGCUCUGGCGACUGUUUACCAAAAACACAGGUCUCUGCUAAGUCGUAAGACGAUGUAUAGGGGCUGACUCCUGCCCAGUGCCGGAAGGUUAAGGAAGUUGGUUAGCGCAAGCGAAGCUGGCGACCGAAGCCCCGGUGAACGGCGGCCGUAACAAUAACGGUCCUAAGGUAGCGAAAUUCCUUGUCGGGUAAGUUCCGACCCGCACGAAAGGAGUAACGAUCAGAGCGCUGUCUCGGAGAGAGACACGGCGAAAUAGGAUUGUCCGUGAAGAUACGGACUACCUGCACCCGGACAGAAAGACCCUAUGAAGCUUUACUGUAACUUGGAAUUGUGUUCGGACUUUGUCUGCGCAGAAUAGGUGGGAGGCUAUGAAACGUUCCUCGCGGGGAACUGGAGCCAUCGUUGAGAUACCACUCUGGCAGAGUCUGGAUUCUAACCUACGGGGACAGUUCCAGGUGGGCAGUUUGACUGGGGCGGUCGCCUCCUAAAAUGUAACGGAGGCGCGCAAAGGUUCCCUCAGGCUGGUUGGAAAUCAGCCAUAGAGUGUAAAAGCAUAAGGGAGCUUGACUGUGAGACCUACAAGUCGAGCAGGGACGAAAGUCGGCUUUAGUGAUCCGACGGCACUGAGUGGAAGGGCCGUCGCUCAACGGAUAAAAGUUACUCUAGGAUAACAGGCUGAUCUCCCCCAAGAGUUCACAUCGACGGGGAGGUUUGGCACCUCGAUGUCGGCUCGUCGCAACCUGGGGCGGUAGUACGUCCCAAGGGUUGGGCUGUUCGCCCAUUAAAGCGGCACGUGAGCUGGGUUCAGAACGUCGUGAGACAGUUCGGUCCAUAUCCGGUGUAGGCGUAGGAGCAUUGAAAGGAUCUCUCCUUAGUACGAGAGGACCGGGAGGGACGUACCUCUGGUGUACCUGUUAUCGUGCCAACGGUAAACGCAGGGUAGCCAUGUACGGAGUGGAUAACCGCUGAAAGCAUCUAAGUGGGAAGCCCACCUUAAGAUGAGUGCUCCCUUGAGGCCACGGGAAGACGACCCGUUUGAUAGGCGCUAGGUGGAAGUGCAGUAAUGCAUGCAGCCGAGGCGUACUAAUAGGCCGAUGGCUUGU
rnacentral:rRNA from 1 species